UUUUGCUCGGUAAAUCACCCAUUCCAAACCAAAAGCCUAUAAAGGGAUCCAGGACCCUUCCGCGUCCUCACCCUUCUGCAGCGCCAGGCAACUCCAGCCCGUUCCAGGGCAGGGACAGUCCCUGCCACUUGGGGUUCCCCUGCUCAGAAGUUUAUAAUAUCAGACAGACUGCCGGAUCCUGACAGUGACCCAAAGUCUCCAAAGAAGAUUAUGAGGCACCCCAGUUCCUGCACCUGGACCAGGGAGCGAGAUGCUCAGAUGUGAUACCUGCUGCUCACCAGGACCUGGCCGAGACUGGACAAAGCUGCUGGACACUGGAAAAUUGAUUGCACCCCCUUUGCCUAGACAAAACAAGGUCAGUCUUUUCCAUGUCCCUCUUCCACAGAGAGAAAAAAAAAAACCUCUCACCUUAUAGGUCUGGCGAAGAUUGCUGUUCUUUGAGACAUCUGCCUCCAGCGGUAAUGGAGAGACUUGGGUAUGGCUAACUGUAUAUGGACUGGCUUCUAACUGGCUUCUGUCACUUUUUAGUAGAUUCGGAUAAAAUAUACCCUUCUCAGAUCUCUGAAAUAUUAAUGGUUGUCAGCUGGACAGCAUCAGACAGUCAGAUCCACUAUAGGCUAUAGUCAGCAUGUUAGCCGAUAAAGUAAUGACUACCUACUGUUCAGUCACAAGUUCAAGGUUUUUAAGUGUAUUUUGGUUGUCAUCUAGAUAUAAACUUAAAGGGCUUUUCAUCAGGCCAAAGGCACCUCUGUCCAAUCCAUACCUGGCUCUCUGGACAGAAGAAAAUGUACUUGCUUCUAGCCCAAAUCUGUAGUUAUUGAUAGGACUCAAAAUUUUAAAUAUGUUCCUGCUGUUUGAACAGAUAUCCAGAUAUCUGCUUUUUCUGCACUGUGGGCUUCAGUAAAUAAGUUUUAACCUCUGUUCCUAGUUUAAACAUGUCUUAAACAGGUUUCUGCUUCUGGCAGACAUCUGAGUAUCAGUUGCUGACUACAGGCUGUUCUAAGUAGACUGCGAGCCCUGGACUUGCUGUGGAUGUGAACCAGUCCAGCUGAUAUGGACACCCCCUGCCUUUGCAACAGAGUCUGCCAACAGCCCCUGGUGGAUUCCCCAUUGCCUAAAUUCAUUUUUUUGCUUUUGACUAGCAUUUCAACCUUCUGGAGUCCCUAACUUCAUCCCAAAGUCAGCAGGAAGUAGCAUGGGAAAGAAUUUGCUGCCCAUUUUCCCUGGUUAAAAUGCUAAGUCAGAAGGAACUCCCUUGCAUGGGGAUGCAAAUAUCUCUCACUCCCUGAUGGGGGCGCUAGAGAGACAGCAAUUCCAUGAUUGGAAUUUCCAAAAAAGAAAACGGGGAAAUGAAGGGACCAGCUCCCCAUUUCCGCAGCCAUGACUGUAACACGUGCUUGCCAUGACCUUGUCUUAGUCACUAAGGUCAGAUGCCCACCCCUUUCGGCAGCCAUAAUAGUAACACGUGCUUUUCUGACCUUGCCUUGGUCACUAGAGGUUAGGUGCCUGCCUCAUGGCAAGGAACCAAUCAGAAGUUAGCUGAUGUCGCUAUGCUUUACGGCUCUGGGUGUGCUUUACAGACAAGUGCACAGCAAUGACUCACAGAGCAUAGCAACCACACUGGGAGGGCCUAUGGGCCAUAACAACCAGUUGGCCAAUCAACACAGGGCAAGCCCUCCAAUCCUGGAGGCACACCAAUCCUGAGCCUGUGCGUACCCCUAGACACUCCCCUUACGCUGCCCUACAAGAUCUCUAUGCAGCCCCUUCGAGCUGUCUUUGCUAGCCAUCCACCAUGGCGGGUGGGUGAAGACCCUAGCUAACAUGGGAUUAGCUCGUUAAAUGACAAUAAAGCCUCGUGCAGUUUGCAGCAAGCUUUUGAAUCUUCCUGGUGAUUGGGGUGACCGAGGUCCUGGGCUGAGACCCCGGAGGCCUGAGUUUUCCUGGGGUCUAACAAUACCACUGAAGGAUGUGCAUGACUUUAAUCCCCGCACUUGGGAGGCAGAGGCAGGUAGAUCUCUGUGAGUGAGUUCUAGGCCCAUCUGGUCUACACAGUGAGUUUCUAGCCAUCCAAGGCUACACAGAGAAACCCUGUCUCAAAAAACCAAAUACAUAAAUAAAAAUAGGGAGGUCAUGUGACUUCACCACCAUCAUGAAUAAAGGUGACCAAAUGGAGUGGGUCUCCAAGUUAUUUUAGAUUAGGAUAGACUUCUAUGUGAUAAUUCCUGUCCUGCCUUAAAAACAAGGUUUAUAGAAGAUAGGAUUUAAAACAACGUUGGCAUUCAUGUAUAGGGAUGUAUCUUGCUGAUAGCCAGAUUUUGUAAUGUAUUAUUGAUUUUAAAAACACUAAGUUGUUUACAAUGUGAAAAUGUAGUUUGUCUUCUACAGAUUAUGAUUAUGCUUUAUCUUAGGAGCACUGCUCAACACCAGAGGCUGAGAUAUUCCUAUUUUAUGAUGCAACAAGAUGGCUUAAAACAGUCUGACAAAGAGCUCUCCUUACUAUUCAGGCUCACAAAGACAAAUUUAAAAAUAUAUGUCUAAGGCCAGGCAGUGAUGGUUUUGCUAUGAUACCAAGGUAUAAAUCUACUCCAGCUGUCUUACAGGUACCUGCAUGUUUCUGGAAAAAAAAAAGUUCUGCUACUGUAUCAAGAAAUCAGUGUCUAGAUAGGUCCUCCUGCCAGACAUGUGCCAAGUCCAACCCACAGGGGGCCCUCCAAAGACACCAGCCCCUACACCAGCUCCAAAGACACCAGCUUCAAGGACACCAACCUGGUGAGGACUGGCAAGUUGGCUUCACCCAUAUACCCACUCAUAAAGCUCCAAUGUCUCCUAACUCCAGUGAAACAGCAGAUGUGAUGGCUCAGGUACUUCUGGAACACAUCAUCCUUAGAUCUGUUGUGCCAUCCCAAGCUCCGGGGACAUUAGUGCUGAUAGCAUUUUUCUAGGUUCAAGUGGGUACCUAUCCAGCAACUGGAAUCUGGUUUUCCAAGAUGUUUCAGUAAAGGGCAUAUCUGCUCUCAUGUCUCACUCAUUCACCCUUGUCUCUUUUGUACAACCAUAUAUCCAUUUCAUUCUUUCUGGUAACCUUCCCUCUUCCCAUCGCUAGCCCCAUUCAUAGUGCUGGUAAUAAUAAUCUAUUUUUUUCCUAGUAACCUGCCUUCUCCAUCUCCUCAAGGAAUAGAUGCCUGAGGUCUCCAGGAUGGUAGCUAACUGAAUGCUUCUUCACUCAUACUUCCUGUUGAACAUGAACCCACCAAUUUCCCCUCCCCAUGUCAUCACUUGCCCGAAAGUAGUAGCCAAACUUGAACUGGAGCCCACAUACACAAGGAGUCUGGGAUAUUUAGGUGGAAGCUCUGCCUCAGCCCCCCACUCCAAACCUCCUCCUGCUCCCUGCCUCUCAGAAAGCCCUCCAGGGUAUUUAAGACCUGGAUCCUAGAAGAUUUCUCCUCUUCCCAUUUCUGAGAGCUGCCUGAGAAUGCUUUGCUUUGUUCUGUUUAUUAAACUUGGUCUUAUUAAUUCAGCUGGAUUUGAUUAAUCGCAUCAGCAGAGAAACCCACAAUUGGGGAUUUUCAAAAUACUUAUCAGGUGCACCUAGGCAGUGAGUCAAGUACUAAGCAGAUCCCUUCAUGGUUUCUGCUUCUGUUCCUAUCCUGAUUUUUCAGGGAUGGACUGCAACUCAGAACCCUUUCUUCCCUCCAAAUGCUUUGGGCAUGGUUUUAAUCAUAAUAGAAUGAAACUAGAAGGGUAUGGGAGUAAAAAGGAUAAAAGGAGGUGAAUAUGCUCAAACGCAUUAUAUACAUAUAUGAAUAUAUAUGAAAUGUCAUACUGAAACCAAUUAUGUAUAACUAAUAUAUACUAAUAAAAGACCAAAUGCUAGCUGGGCAUUGGUGGCACAUGCCUUUAAUCCCAGCACUUGGGAGGCAGAGGCAGGUGGAUCUCUGUGAGUUCGAGACCAGCCUGGUCUACAAGAGCUAGUUCCAGGACAGCCUCCAAAAGCCACAGAGAAACCCUGUCUCGAAAAACCAAAAAAAAAAAAAAAAAAAAAAAGACCAAAUGCUCUAAAUUAAUUACCCAGUGGAAUUUAUUUAUUUGGUUUUUUGACACACGGUUUCCCUGUGUAGCCCUAGCUUCUUCAAACUCACUGUGUAGACCAGAUGGGCCUAGAACUCACUCACAGAGAUCUACCUGUCUCUGCCUCCCAAGUGCUGGGAUUAAAGUCAUGCACAUCCUUCAGUGGUGUUUAUUAGUGCUAUCAAGACACUGACAGUUUAAAUGCUUUAAUUACUUUUGUGAACUUGCAUACAUUCUUAUGCUAACUUUAGUUUGUUAUGAAAACUGUUCUAAUGGGAAACUAAGUUAAGCUGCCCGAAUACCUUCCAUUUUGUACUAGUUUUAGCGAACUCCUGAUGGGCGAAGUCCAUCUGUGUAUAUGUUUUUCUUAUUGGUUGAUGAAUAAAACUGUGGCCAAUAGAGGCAGGGAGAUAGGUGGGACUAGGAGAUGAGGAGAAUUCUGGGAAUUCUGGGAGAGCAGUCACCAUGUAGUGAAGGAAUAACAGUUCUGGACCCUUCUACUGUAAGAAAAGACCACGUGGAAAUACUUAGAUUAAUAGAGAUGGGUUAAUAAUUAAGACAGAGCUAGCUAAUAAGAAGCCCUAGUCAUUGGCCAACAGCUUUAUAAUUAGUAUGUCCUGUGUUUAUUUGGGGCUCUCAAGGGUGGCAGAAUCCUGCUGGGACAAACUCCAUCUAGUGUUGCAUCCUAUUGCUCUCUAAGCACACCCUGCUGAGCAGAGCAUUCUCAUGCAGCCAUACCUGUAGCCUCAGGAAAUCUGCUGUCUUACAACAUAAAACAAACUUUUAAUUAAACAGUUCUGGGGGUCAAAAUUUAGGCUUUGUGCUGCUGGGUGUGGAGGGGCAUGCUCUAGGUCUUAUAUGAAGUAAUUUUCAAAUAUGAAUUGUCAGUCUGGAUGGGUGUUGUACUGCACACCUUUAACCCCAGCACUCGAGGCAGAUGCAGGAGGAUCUCUGUGAGUUCCAGGCCAGUCUUGUCUACAUAUGAGCUCCAGGCCAGCCAGGGCUAGCAACUGUGAUCCUGUCCCAAAAAGAAAAAAGAAUUUUCAAUGAGAAGUCUGGUGCAAGCUUACCUCACAAGGAAAUGGUCUCAUUUACUGAAUACCCCAGACAGUACAGAAUUUCUAUUUCCCUUCAACACUUGAAAUACCUUUUAUAACUCAAACACACUACCAAUGAAUGUUUUAAAGUAGAUCACUAUGACUGCUUGUUUAUAAACUAGCUAUUAAAACUAAAUUUAAAUGUAAUAUAUGGUGUGUGAGUCUGGUUUCUCUAAAGGAAUAGAAUGGCUUGCAAGCUGUGGUCUGGAUAGUUCAAUAGCGUCUCCUAACAGAAAGCCUGAGAAUAUGGUCUAUCCAUAAGACUGGCUGUUGCAGCCAUCCCAACCUGAUGCCUAGAGACCUGCUGAUCUUCAGGCUAUAUUGAAAUCCCGAAGAAAUAGGUUCUAACACCUGCAAGGGAUUGCCUUGGCAGCAGGAUGGAUGAACUUACCGAGGGCAAGCAGGCAAAAAGCAAACCUUUCUUCUUCCAUGUCCUUUUAUGUGGGCUGUUACAGGAAAGUGUGGCCCAGACAUAGGGUGGGUCUUCUUCAAUAAAUGAUCCAAUCAAGAAAAAUUCCUCACAGGUGAACCCAGCUGCUUCAGUUUUGUUUUUGUAUUUUGGUUUUUGGAGACAAGGUUUCUCUGUGGUUUUGGAACUAGCUCUUGUAGACCAGGCUGGCCUCGAACUCACAGAGAUCCACCUGCCUCUGCCUCUGGAGUGCUGGGAUUAAAGGCAUGCACCACCAAUGCGUGGCUGCUGCUUGAGUUUUAACUGGUUCCAGAUGUAGUCAAGUUGACAGCCAGAUAAAGAAUCACAAAACCAGAAGCCACUGCACCAAAGGACACACACACACACACACACACACACACACACACACACACACUUUGGUACAUCAUUACCAUUACCUUCCCUCUAAAUUACAGAAAGCAUAAAUACCUCAUAAAGCAUGGGUUACCCCAUUUCCUAACCUAAAGUGCCCAGCAUUCCAUACAUUGACCUGGGAAUCCAUACACCCAAACUUGCCAAGCUUCAGCUAGCUGCCAUUGCAUCUGACUUUUGUUGUCAGUUUGGAUGGUUUUUGUUUGUCUUUUUUUGUUUUGUUUUAUUUUGUUUUGCACGGAGGAUCUGGCCCAGGAAUUGUGACGCUAGGCCAUACUCUACCACUGAGCCAUCUUCCAUCUUUCUUCCUAUACACAUUAAACUUUGUAAGAGUAAAAUAACCUCAUCUCAGCUUUUUUUCUACCCAUAUCCAACUUAUCUCUUAAGUCCACACCUGUGUUUACCUAAAGAGAAAGCCAAAUUGACAUGAAGUGACAUAUUGCUUCUGCAGAGUAGUAUUGUUUAGCAUUGAGUAUCUUGUGUUUACAGCUAAUAACGCCUCUGUAGCUAUUCCCUCUACCCUACUUAGCAAAACAAUAUUUACUCUGGCCCAUUUCCAAGACUGUUAGAAAAAUCUUUUGAGUGUUGUAGGACACAGAUAUUCUUGCUAACAAACUUUGAAAUGGCCUUUAAAACAGCAAAUUUAUACAAGCAUGGACAUUAGUUUCAAUACUUUUUAUAUUUUAAGAGGGAUGAGGCUGGACAGAUAGCACAGCUAUUGUUUGCCUUCCCCAGAAAGCUACAUUUUAAAAGCCAGACACAGUAGUGUGCACUUGUAAUCACGGUGCUGGGAAAACGGUGACAGGCAGAUCCCUAGAGCUCUCUGGCCAGCCACCCUAGCCUAAGUGGUCCUGCAUAGACUGCCAAGGAUACUCAUUCCCUUCUUCAUUGCAAUGGUGCCGUGGUCCUGUGCUGCCUAUGGCAGGGUAUGAUCUGAAACAAACCUGUUCUUCCCCACUGCCUUCCUAUUGGAGACUGGAUGUGAAACGGAUUCCUGUGUUUGAAUACUUGGUCCCCAGCUGGCAGCACUAUUUGGCAAGGUUGUAUAACUUCAGGAAGUGGAACCUUGCUGGAGGAAGAGGGUCAACGGGGGUAGAUCUUGAGGUUUUGUGGUUUAACACUGCAUUCUGUUCAAGCUGCUUCUUGACUGCAGAUGCAUUGUGCAUAUAUCUGGGUCUGUAAAUCAGAACAAAUCUUUCCUUUUCAGGUAUUUUGUCAUAGGAACAAGAAAAGUUAAUUACUUCCACCAAAGCCAAAGUUACUGUUGACCACGGAGGGGGAGACAAGGAUGCCACUGUCUAUCUAGCUUCAGCCUAAGUCCUGCCUGGUACUGUGUGGAGAUACUCCUUUUGUGGACAUGGGUGGAUAGAAAAAAAAAAAAAACCCAAGUCUUACCAACAGCAAGUUCUGUGCUGGUUGCCAGCAACAGGCUCUGGCAGGGGCAGCAGUAUGGACCUUGAUUGGGUUUCACCUGCACACAUGGUCCCUGGCAUAUGCUGUGUGUUGAGAAGGACACUAAGCUAGAAUAGGUGCAUAUCUGAGUUUCCAAUUAGAUUACAUAGAUAAGAAAGAUCAUUUAGCUGCGACUCAUACUUGAUAUGGAAACCACUAGGAAAUGGAAAAACAACAGAGUCAAAGGAAACAGAAAAGCCCUCCUAACUGAAGUAACUUCUAAUCCUGCCAUUGGCUCAGAUGUUAAUGCUAAUGUGGAGAGACCUCAUGCUUUCAGAGAACUUGUUUUGUUUGUGUAUAUAGUUGUUUGUGUGUGUGGUCUAUGUAUGAGUUUGGGUGUGUGCACUUGCACAUAGAGACCAAAGGUCUCUAUGUUGAGGUCAGGAUUGCCCCAGCACUGUGAGAUAAGGGCUCUCUGGUAGCUGUAGGGAGCCGUCCCUGCAUUCUCCAUUACAAGAUGGCGCCUGCAUCCGGCAGGCACCGAAUGUAAACAAGAUUAUUGCGCAGGCGCUGGGUAAUUUUCCAUUCCUUGAUCUCUGCCUAUUCCGUGGCGUCAUAUGGCCUGAUGAGCUGCAGCCAAUCAUAGGGUGACACGUCCCAGGCGGCGGCUGCCAGCCUUUAUUAGGGGACGGGAUUCUUGGCUCAGGGUCUCCGCUCUGGGAAGCUUAUGCUCUCCACUCUCAAGAUGCAUUAAAGCUUGUCUGCAGAAGGAUCCGAGUGUCC
ensembl:lncRNA